rnacentral:rRNA from 1 species
ACAUGGGCAUGUUUGUGAAUGUAAAGUCCACUGGAAUGUGGCAGCGCUUCGGCGUUCUUUGGGUCAGAGAGGGUGAAAACCCCGUUUACAUUCAUGAGCGUGUCUGUUGUGUGAGCGUGUUAAAGAGUCGGAUUGUUUGGGAAUGCAAUCCAAAACGGGUGGUAAAUUCCAUCCAAGACUAAAUAUUAGCAAGAGACCGAUAGCGAACAAGUACCGUGAGGGAAAGAUGAAAAGCACUCUGAAGAGAGAGUGAAAUAGUACGUGAAAUUGCUGAAAGGGAAACGCUUGAGACGAUUGUUGCUUGCAUUUUAAUCAGUUUCGGCUGCUCUUGAAAUGUAUGGCAAGGCAGCAGCAUUUCCCAGUGGUAUUGACGCCCUUCACGAAUGUAGCAACCGUUUUUUUUNGUGUUAUAACUUGGAGUGUUGCUAUGUUGUUUGGGGGGGAGGACUCCUCCC